rnacentral:rRNA from 1 species
UGGGCACUCUAGAAUGACUGCCGGUGACAAACCGGAGGAAGGCGGGGAUGACGUCAAAUCAUCAUGCCCCUUAUGACUUGGGCUACACACGUACUACAAUGGCCGGUACAACGGGAAGCGAAGCCGCGAGGUGGAGCGAAUCCUAGAAAAGCCGGUCUCAGUUCGGAUUGCAGGCUGCAACUCGCCUGCAUGAAGUCGGAAUUGCUAGUAAUCGCGGAUCAGCAUGCCGCGGUGAAUACGUUCCCGGGUCUUGUACACACCGCCCGUCACACCACGAGAGUUUACAACACCCGAAGUCGGUGAGGUAACCGCAAGGAGCCAGCCGCCGAAGGUGGGGUAGAUGAUUGGGGUGAAGUCGUAACAAGGUAGCCGUAUCGGAAGGUGCGGCUGGAUCACCUCCUUUCUAUGGAGA